CCCUUCUCAGAGGCACACCUGGAGAGUUUCCAGUGCUCUACCAGUCUCGACUACAGGAGGGAGAGUCAAGCAGACACAUAUCCAUUCCAUUCCUAGCUUGAGCAGUGGCUAGCGAGUGGAAGGCAAUCUGCUACAAGU
rnacentral:snoRNA from 1 species